rnacentral:lncRNA from 1 species
AUUCAAUUGCCACUCGUUCUCACCUAUCUUCUAGUUCGCGCCCUUGCCAUCAACAUCUAGUUGUUUUUGUUAUCACUAAUUGCCUCCAUCUAUCUCCGCUCGCCGUCAGAUUAUCCAUUGUCAAAAACCAGACCAAAGCAACACUAAGGGCUGACGAAUUUAAAGGCCCACACACACACAGUGCUCUCCUAGCGAAAGAAAUGGGGGAACUUCUCCUUUUAGGUAAUUCUUCUUCUUCCUCAUCACAAUAUUUAUAGAUAUAAGUGCAUAUACAGACAUAUAUGCAUACACGUAUGUGUGAGAAAUUGUUAUUAUGUUAUGAUUUGGAUUUUGAAAUAGGACUAGUUUGAUAAUAUUAAAAACUGUAAGUGUAUCUUGAUGUGGGUUUAAGCUUUUGUGCUUGUUAAUGAUUUUAAUUUUCAGAAUUUAUGUGAAAAGUCCAUCAAUAUUAGGUCAAAACGUGAAAAUACAUUUGGGUGAUUGAUUGUACAUGUUUGAGUUGUUUGACUAGAAAGGGAUGAAUUCCAAUAAAAUUGUUUGCCACUAUACAUUUUUUUUAUUCAUUUGUAAUCAUUAUGCAAUUAAUUUAUGAUUUUUAUUUGCC